rnacentral:rRNA from 1 species
ACUCCUACGGGAGGCAGCAGUGGGGAAUUUUGCGCAAUGGGCGAAAGCCUGACGCAGCAACGCCGCGUGAGUGAUGAAGGCUUUCGGGUCGUAAAGCUCUGUCAGGGGGAAAGAAGUGUAUUGUGGCUAAUAUCCACGAUACUUGACGGUACCCCCAAAGGAAGCACCGGCUAACUCCGUGCCAGCAGCCGCGGUAAUACGGAGGGUGCAAGCGUUGUUCGGAAUUAUUGGGCGUAAAGCGCGUGUAGGCGGUUUGUUAAGUCUGAUGUGAAAGCCCCGGGCUCAACCCGGGAAGUGCAUUGGAGACUGGCAGACUUGAAUACGGGAGAGGGUAGUGGAAUUCCUAGUGUAGGAGUGAAAUCCGUAGAUAUUAGGAGGAACACCGGUGGCGAAGGCGGCUGCCUGGACCGAUAUUGACGCUGAGACGCGAAAGCGUGGGUAGCAAACAGGAUUAGAUACCCUGGUAGUCCACGCCGUAAACGAUGAGAACUAGGUGUUGCGGGUAA